CCUACGGGAGGCAGCAGUGAGGAAUAUUGGUCAAUGGACGAGAGUCUGAACCAGCCAAGCAGCGUGAAGGAUGACUGCCCUAUGGGUUGUAAACUUCUUUUAUAUGGGAAUAAAAUGUUCCACGUGUGGGAUUUUGUAUGUACCAUAUGAAUAAGGAUCGGCUAACUCCGUGCCAGCAGCCGCGGUAAUACGGAGGAUCCGAGCGUUAUCCGGAUUUAUUGGGUUUAAAGGGAGCGUAGGUGGAUUGUUAAGUCAGUUGUGAAAGUUUGCGGCUCAACCGUAAAAUUGCAGUUGAAACUGGCAGUCUUGAGUACAGUAGAGGUGAGCGGAAUUCGUGGUGUAGCGGUGAAAUGCUUAGAUAUCACGAAGAACUCCGAUUGCGAAGGCAGCUCACUGGACUGUAACUGACACUGAGGCUCGAAAGUGUGGGUAGCAAACAGGAUUAGAUACCCUUGUAGUC
rnacentral:rRNA from 1 species